GGUGUCCGCUGUGCUCCUGACCCAGUGAGGGGCCCAUUGCUGCUCCCAAUUGGGCUAAAGGCUUGCCAUUGUUCCUGCACGGCUAAGUGCCCGGGUUCGUCCUAAUUGAGCUGAACACUAGUCACUGGGUUCUACGGUUCUCUUCCGUGACCCACGGCUUCUAGUAGAGCUAUAAUGCUCACCACAUGGCCCAAGAUUCCAUUCCUUGGAAUCCGUGAGGCCAAGAACCCCAGGUCAGAGAACACGAGGCUUGCUGCCAUCUUGUAAGCAGCCCACCGCCAUUUUGGAAGCAGCCCACCACCAUCUUGGGAGCUCUGGGAGCAAGGACCCCCCAGUAACAUUUUGGCAACCACAAAGGGACCUCCAAAGUGCCCUUGGUACCUGCCUCUUUGGAAGGCACCUCCGGUCACAUCAGGAGCAUGGAUGGGGCCCCACCUGCAUACACAUGGAGAUGGACUCAUCCUCCAGCUACUUUGGAUACCGUGGCUCCCAUUUUUCUACUUUCUCUGAAGGAUUGAAGCCACCUUGCCCAGAAGUCACUGGGAGUUAUGCCUCCUCCCUAAGGAUGGCCCACAGCCAGUGCCUCAUUGGAGCAAGAGGUACAGAAGCCCUGCUCCCUCAUCUGAAGAUGGGGCAGGCUCCGCAGUGCAAUCCAUGCACCCGAGCUCCCAUGGCAUCAGACUGACAUUGCUGGAAGCCACAGUCUUCCUCAGCUUCUCCUUCCCUGUCCUGCUUCCCUCACUCCCUUAUGGUUUUCUCCUGAGGGCACUCCCUUAAUAAAUCACUUGCGUCAAGAAUCCACAUCAUGGGCUCUGCUUCUAGGGAAACUGGCAGUUCACAAUCUUAGAAUAUAUUAUAUAUUUAGUUCCUCUUUGGGGGUAAUAACUUUACCUGCCUGAGGGCAGAAGUAUUUAUAUUUCCUCUAAUAUUUAGCACAGGGCUUUGCACAUGAUAGGGGUUUGUUAACUUCUAGGAAUAAAGUAAUUUGAAUAAACUUGAGCUGAUCUUUAAAAAUAGGCAAAAACCAAACAUCAUACCUUAUCAGCCUGGUUAAAUAGGAGGAUUGGCCGGGUGCAGUGGCUCACGCCUAUAAUCUCAGCACUUUGGGAGGCC
rnacentral:lncRNA from 10 species